GGUGGUUCUUGGGUGACCCACACCAGAAUCGGGCUCCCUCCUCUCUGUUCUGGGUGUGUCACCCGAGAACCGCA
rfam:Myotis lucifugus cont2.1419, whole genome shotgun sequence.